UGAGGAAUAUUGGUCAAUGGGCGAGAGCCUGAACCAGCCAAGUAGCGUGCGGGAUGAAGGCCCUUGUGGUCGUAAACCGCUUUUAUCAGUGAAUAAAGUGCACCACGUGUGGUGUCAUUGCAGGUAGCUGAAGAAAAAGGACCGGCUAAUUCCGUGCCAGCAGCCGCGGUAAUACGGAAGGUCCGGGCGUUAUCCGGAAUUAUUGGGUUUAAAGGGAGCGCAGGCGGGAGUGUAAGUCAGCUGUUAAAUAUCAGGGCCCAACUCUGUUAUGCAGUUGAAACUAUAUUUCUUGGGUACGCACAGGGAUGGCGGAAUUCAGGGUGUAGCGGUGAAAUGCUUAGAUAUCCUGAAGAACUCCGAUCGCGAAGGCAGCCAUCCGGAGCGUAACUGACGCUGAGGCUCGAAGGUGCGGGUAUCGAACAGGAUUAGAUACCCUGGUAGUCCGCACGGUAAACGAUGAAUACUCGCAGUUCGGCCUUUUAGGUCGAGUUGUCCAGCGAAAGCGUUAAGUAUUCCACCUGGGGAGUACGCCGGCAACGGUG
rnacentral:rRNA from 1 species